rfam:Brassica napus, WGS project CCCW01000000 data, contig: 30591
AUACUUACCUGGAUGAGGUCGACUGUUGAUCAAUAAGAUGAGUGGCCUAAGCUAGUAACUUCCAUUGCACAAUAAGGAAGGGUGCUUAGCUUAAGAUUUUCCCAAGUAGAAGAGCCUGCAUCUUAUUUUGCGGUAGUGGGGUGAUAUUACGUGUAUACGCACA